GAUGAACGCUGGCGGCGUGCCUAAUACAUGCAAGUCGAGCGAACGGACGAGAAGCUUGCUUCUCUGAUGUUAGCGGCGGACGGGUGAGUAACACGUGGAUAACCUACCUAUAAGACUGGGAUAACUUCGGGAAACCGGAGCUAAUACCGGAUAAUAUUUUGAACCGCAUGGUUCAAAAGUGAAAGACGGUCUUGCUGUCACUUAUAGAUGGAUCCGCGCUGCAUUAGCUAGUUGGUAAGGUAACGGCUUACCAAGGCAACGAUGCAUAGCCGACCUGAGAGGGUGAUCGGCCACACUGGAACUGAGACACGGUCCAGACUCCUACGGGAGGCAGCAGUAGGGAAUCUUCCGCAAUGGGCGAAAGCCUGACGGAGCAACGCCGCGUGAGUGAUGAAGGUCUUCGGAUCGUAAAACUCUGUUAUUAGGGAAGAACAUAUGUGUAAGUAACUGUGCACAUCUUGACGGUACCUAAUCAGAAAGCCACGGCUAACUACGUGCCAGCAGCCGCGGUAAUACGUAGGUGGCAAGCGUUAUCCGGAAUUAUUGGGCGUAAAGCGCGCGUAGGCGGUUUUUUAAGUCUGAUGUGAAAGCCCACGGCUCAACCGUGGAGGGUCAUUGGAAACUGGAAAACUUGAGUGCAGAAGAGGAAAGUGGAAUUCCAUGUGUAGCGGUGAAAUGCGCAGAGAUAUGGAGGAACACCAGUGGCGAAGGCGACUUUCUGGUCUGUAACUGACGCUGAUGUGCGAAAGCGUGGGGAUCAAACAGGAUUAGAUACCCUGGUAGUCCACGCCGUAAACGAUGAGUGCUAAGUGUUAGGGGGUUUCCGCCCCUUAGUGCUGCAGCUAACGCAUUAAGCACUCCGCAUGGGGAGUACGACCGCAAGGUUGAAACUCAAAGGAAUUGACGGGGACCCGCACAAGCGGUGGAGCAUGUGGUUUAAUUCGAAGCAACGCGAAGAACCUUACCAAAUCUUGACAUCCUUUGACAACUCUAGAGAUAGAGCCUUCCCCUUCGGGGGACAAAGUGACAGGUGGUGCAUGGUUGUCGUCAGCUCGUGUCGUGAGAUGUUGGGUUAAGUCCCGCAACGAGCGCAACCCUUAAGCUUAGUUGCCAUCAUUAAGUUGGGCACUCUAAGUUGACUGCCGGUGACAAACCGGAGGAAGGUGGGGAUGACGUCAAAUCAUCAUGCCCCUUAUGAUUUGGGCUACACACGUGCUACAAUGGACAAUACAAAGGGCAGCGAAACCGCGAGGUCAAGCAAAUCCCAUAAAGUUGUUCUCAGUUCGGAUUGUAGUCUGCAACUCGACUACAUGAAGCUGGAAUCGCUAGUAAUCGUAGAUCAGCAUGCUACGGUGAAUACGUUCCCGGGUCU
rnacentral:rRNA from 1 species